UGGGGAAUAUUGCACAAUGGGCGCAAGCCUGAUGCAGCCAUGCCGCGUGUAUGAAGAAGGCCUUCGGGUUGUAAAGUACUUUCAGCGGGGAGGAAGGUGUUGAGGCUAAUAACCUCAGCAAUUGACGUUACCCGCAGAAGAAGCACCGGCUAACUCCGUGCCAGCAGCCGCGGUAAUACGGAGGGUGCAAGCGUUAAUCGGAAUUACUGGGCGUAAAGCGCACGCAGGCGGGUUGUCAAGUCGGAUGUGAAAUCCCCGGGCUCAACCUGGGAACUGCAUUCGAAACUGGCAGGCUAGAGUCUUGUAGAGGGGGGUAGAAUUCCAGGUGUAGCGGUGAAAUGCGUAGAGAUCUGGAGGAAUACCGGUGGCGAAGGCGGCCCCCUGGACAAAGACUGGCGCUCAGGUGCGAAAGCGUGGGGAGCAAACA
rnacentral:rRNA from 1 species